UUCGAAGGGAGCUUCCGCAAGGACACUCGUAGAGGUGCUGCAUGGCUGUCGUCAGCUCGUGUCGUGAGAUGUUGGGUUAAGUCCCGCAACGAGCGCAACCCUUGUCUGCUGUUGCCAUCACGUUAUGGUGGGCACUCUGCAGAGACUGCCGGUGAUAAACCGGAGGAAGGUGGGGAUGACGUCAAGUCAGCAUGGCCUUUAUGUCUGGGGCCACACACGUGCUACAAUGGCAGAUACAAACCGUCGCGAGACCGCAAGGUGGAGCUAAUCGGAGAAAGUCUGUCUCAGUUCGGAUCGUAGGCUGCAACUCGCCUGCGUGAAGUUGGAAUCGCUAGUAAUCGCGGAUCAGCACGCCGCGGUGAAUACGUUCCCGGGCCUUGUACACACCGCCCGUCACAUCACGAAAGCCGGUUGUACUAGAAGUCGCCAUACCAACCCGCAAGGGAGGGAGGCGCCUAAGGUAUGGUCGGUGAUUGGGGUGAAGUCGUAACAAGGUAACCGU
rnacentral:rRNA from 1 species